GUGCUUGCUUUGACAGCAUAUAUCCUAAAUUGGAACAAUACAGUGAAGAUUAUUGUGGUCCUGAUGCAAGGAUGAUGUGUAAAUUUGUGAAGAUUUCUGUAUUUUU